rnacentral:rRNA from 1 species
AUUGAACGCUGGCGGCAGGCCUAACACAUGCAAGUCGAGCGGAUGAAGGGAGCUUGCUCCUGGAUUCAGCGGCGGACGGGUGAGUAAUGCCUAGGAAUCUGCCUGGUAGUGGGGGAUAACGUCCGGAAACGGGCGCUAAUACCGCAUACGUCCGGAGGGAGAAAGUGGGGGAUCUUCGGACCUCACGCUAUCAGAUGAGCCUAGGUCGGAUUAGCUAGUUGGUGGGGUAAAGGCCUACCAAGGCGACGAUCCGUAACUGGUCUGAGAGGAUGAUCAGUCACACUGGAACUGAGACACGGUCCAGACUCCUACGGGAGGCAGCAGUGGGGAAUAUUGGACGAUGGGCGAAAGCCUGAUCCAGCCAUGCCGCGUGUGUGAAGAAGGUCUUCGGAUUGUAAAGCACUUUAAGUUGGGAGGAAGGGCAGUAAGUUAAUACCUUGCUGUUUUGACGUUACCAACAGAAUAAGCACCGGCUAACUUCGUG